CAGUUGACGAACCCUAGCCGUCGCCCGCUCCCGCACUCUCCUCCCCCUCCUGCCUCUUCCCUUCCCCGCCUACUCCUCCUGUCGCCGCUGCCGCCUCCGCUCCUGCUGUCGCCACAUCGCCGCCCCAAACCCCUGCCGCAUCGGAGAGAAAUCCAUGGCGGUGGACAAGCCCGGCGGCGGCGGGGCCUCCUCCUCUUCGCCCGCGUCCACCACGGACCGACCGCGUCAGCAAGAGGAGAGGAGCAGCAGCCGCAGCGCGUCCUCAGUCCGGCCUCGACAAGAGAAGGGGAGCAGCAGCCCAGCCACGCUAGCUGGCGCGCACCUCGUCGCCACCUCUCCUCACCUUCUCCCAGGUUCCUGAUCUGGAGCGGGAGGGAGGCCAGGCUACCCUUGACACGCAUAUGUGGAAUGUUCUCACUAUCAACUCUGGAAUAACUAGCAAGUAGUGGUGUCAAUGGCAUCCGUGGGAGACAUUUUGGUGGCACAUGGACAUCACGUUCUGGAAUAAAGUAAGUCUCACAAUCAACUUGGGAAGAUGAGGCCAUGGAACAAUAAAUAACUUGGCAACGGAUACCCUGUGGUCUACAAUUAUACUGUAAUUAUGUGUGCACUUUGGAUCUAUUGGAUGUCUAAAUGUAUUGUUAAUCGACAACUACUAAUGCAAAGGAGAUGUGUGUCGAGAGGCACAUGAAUAUGCACGUGGGCUCUUUUUCAGCAUGGUAGUCUAAAAAACUGUGGUAUUCUCAGAACAGGUAGAAAAUGCUUUGCUAUCAAACCGGGCAAGUGCAGAUUUCCUUGAAUAUAGUUUAUUUUACAAUUGUGUUGCCAACGUGCUUCCAUUGUUUUAUCACCAUAAAAUAGUUCUAGGUGCUCAUAUAAAAUUUAGUGGCGUGUAUGGGUGAUUGUAGUGCAGUUUUGUUUAUCUGCUUGCAUUUUCAGCAUUAUAGUGUUGAUAUACUAUCUCAAUAAAACAGUGAAUACGUAUAAUAUGUACAAGCUACAUUCAAGUUAUGGCAGUGUGCCUGGGUAAGAUGAACUGGUAAUCUUCUGCUAGCUGAAAAAAACUUUUUUCGUCUUUACAUGUGUUUCUUGUUGAAACUCUUUUUCGUCUUUGCAUGUGUUUCUUGAUGAAGCUCGUGAUUUUCAAGUUAUGGCAGUACAUAUGUCUACCCACUUGCAUGACUACCGAUAUUGUCCUUAUUUUGCUCCUCCUUAGCCUUGUUCUGUUAGUGCAGUUCUUUUAAAUAGCAGGGACAGAGUCCCAGAAAACAUGCCUGAUUGCUUUUCUUAGUGGCGCACUUGCAAGUAUAUGUGGUAGUUUCUGUUAGUUUCUCAUGCUUUUCUACAAAGUGAUAGGUUAAUAAUGUCAUCAACAAUUUUUUCCUUAACUGAUCAAUAUCUUAGAAGUUGUCGCUCAUUAGUUUUCUUUUCCUUAUCUGAUCUCUAGCGAGUAGAGUGAUUUAUUUUCGCAAUACCUAAUUCUGAUCAUAGGUAAUGACAGAUUUGUUUUCAUUAAAUGAGAUUCUUGUUUUGUGUUGAUUUUGCAAAAUUUCUGUAGCUACAUAUUUGCUCAAUCCAAUAGACAGAUUUUAAUCAACCUUUAUUAUAAUGUAUUUCCAAUUGUUCAUAACUACAUAAAUUUUUGUUGUGAUUUUGCAAGAUUUCGAAAUUAUUGUGUUUCAAAAUUGUUAUACUGAUUCCUCAAUGCUCUGUUCAUGGCUUUGUUCUUAUUUUAUCCAAAAGACAGAUUUUACUCAACCUUCAGUAUAAUAUUUGCUUUGUUCUUAUACUGAUUCCUCGAUGCUCUGUUCAUGGCUUUGUUCUUAUUUCUGAAGCUAUAUAUUUGCUCUAUCCAAAAGACAGAUUUUACUUAAUCUUUUGCCUUUUAGAAAAAGGGAGAUGCCAUUUAGAGCUUACUCUGUCCAACUUGAUCUUCAACUUGCCGCUACUGUUCCUAAGCAUUUUCCUGAAAACUGUUGUAUUUGCUUUAGAGAAUGAGCUCACCUUACUCAGAAGAUAUGCCAAGUAAAAAAUUAGAAAUUGAACAAUUAGUUCCGCUCUUAAAUUUUGCACAACAGUCCAAAUUAUCCAAUAAAUCAUGUGUUAGCAGGGUCAAAUUAUAGAAGUUGAAUCACUUGUUCUAAAUUACCCAAUCCAAAUUAUGGAUGUUAAUAAUAUGCUUUGUGUUAGACUGUUAGUCAAAUUGUCGAAAGCCGGAGCUGGGUUGAGGAGCCGGCCUCCGCCUUUGACCAUUACGUGAGAAGCAACACCGGCGUUGGCCGUUCCGUGUGCAGAGUGUGUGAGUUAGUGAUUUAAUUCCAUCCUUUCCAUCUCAUGAUGUGAUUUUUCCUUUAGGAUGAAUUAGUAACUUUGUGUGGAGGUGGCAGCACUACCUGCUGGUUGGUGUAAUGCCGUGCUUGACAGGGUGAUUUGCAAUUCCGAGUUUGUUUAAUGGCUUAAUGUCUAAGCACUCAUCCCCUUAUUCUGUUGUGUUGUUACCAACUUGGUUUGCAAGGAACAGACCUUCAUCUGUGUACAUCAAGAUUGCUAAUUGCCAGCUGAAGGGUGAUAGUAAAGCAUGAAGAUGCCUAAGCUUAUGAGGAAGCUGCAAACUGCGACUAAAAAUUCUCACUUCAGGGUACUCUCUCUCUCUCUCGAUCUCAGAGAGGAAACGAGGCAGCCACGGCCUCCUUGCCCCCCCCCCCCCCUUCUCUCCCUCUCUCCCGUGCCUCCGCGCUACUGCAGUACUCCCGCGCUGCACACAGCUGCUGCUCCCCAACCACGGCGCUAUGAUGGUGCUUGCUCGCCUGGUCGCCGCCUCGUCUCGCCCAAUCUUGAUAUAGUCCGGGGCGGCGCCGGCACCGCUCGACCGCGUCGUUGCCUCCUCUGCGUCAUGAGAAGCGCCACCAUUGCCUCCACCCCCACUGGGCAAGGAGCUCGAGGUGUUUGGGGGUUCGUGUUUCCUACACAGGCCAAAACACUAUUGGAGCCUUGGAGAUUGACAGGCCUGGAGUCUCGCUCGCCUCUGUUUUCCCCCUGUGGACACACAUGAGACUCAGAUCUUGGCUCGUCGUAGAGGAAUCGAUAG